rnacentral:rRNA from 1 species
AGACCCGAAACCCGGUGAUCUAGCCAUGGGCAGGUUGAAGGUUGGGUAACACUAACUGGAGGACCGAACCGACUAAUGUUGAAAAAUUAGCGGAUGACUUGUGGCUGGGGGUGAAAGGCCAAUCAAACCGGGAGAUAGCUGGUUCUCCCCGAAAGCUAUUUAGGUAGCGCCUCGUGAAUUCAUCUCCGGGGGUAGAGCACUGUUUCGGCAAGGGGGUCAUCCCGACUUACCAACCCGAUGCAAACUGCGAAUACCGGAGAAUGUUAUCACGGGAGACACACGGCGGGUGCUAACGUCCGUCGUGAAGAGGGAAACAACCCAGACCGCCAGCUAAGGUCCCAAAGUCAUGGUUAAGUGGGAAACGAUGUGGGAAGGCCCAGACAGCCAGGAUGUUGGCUUAGAAGCAGCCAUCAUUUAAAGAAAGCGUAAUAGCUCACUGGUCGAGUCGGCCUGCGCGGAAGAUGUAACGGGGCUAAACCAUGCACCGAAGCUGCGGCAGCGACACUGUGUGUUGUUGGGUAGGGGAGCGUUCUGUAAGCCUGUGAAGGUGUGCUGUGAGGCAUGCUGGAGGUAUCAGAAGUGCGAAUGCUGACAUAAGUAACGAUAAAGCGGGUGAAAAGCCCGCUCGCCGGAAGACCAAGGGUUCCUGUCCA